rnacentral:tRNA from 1 species
GGUAGCAUGGCCGAGCGGUCUAAGGCGCUGGUUUAAGGCACCAGUCAUUUCGAUGGCGGUGGGUUCGAAUCCCCACUGCUGCCA